AUACGAAGGGGGCUAGCGUUGUUCGGAAUUACUGGGCGUAAAGCGCGCGUAGGCGGACUGAUCAGUUGGGGGUGAAAUCCCAGGGCUUAACCCUGGAACUGCCUCCAAUACUGUCAGUCUUGAGUUCGGGAGAGGUGAGUGGAAUUCCUAGUGUAGAGGUGGAAUUCGUAGAUAUUAGGAAGAACACCAGUGGCGAAGGCGGCUCACUGGCCCGAUACUGACGCUGAGGCGCGAAAGCGUGGGGAGCAGACAGGAUUAGAAACCCUAGUAGUCC
rnacentral:rRNA from 1 species